GCCCUUAGAGUUUGAUCAUGGCUCAGGACGAACGCUGGCGGCGGGCCUAACACAUGCAAGUCACACGAGAAAGCGCCUUCGGGCGUGAGUACAGUGGCGGACGGGUGAGUAACGCGUAUGCAACCUACCCUUGAGCGGGGGACAAUCACGGGAAACCGUGGCUAAUACCGCAUAAAAUCUCGGUUGCGCCUGCAACCGAGAUCAAAGCCUUCGGGCGCUCUUGGAUGGGCAUGCGUCGGAUUAGCUUGUUGGUGAGGUAGAAGCUCACCAAGGCAACGAUCCGUAGCUGGUCUGAGAGGAUGAUCAGCCACACUGGCACUGAGACACGGGCCAGACUCCUACGGGAGGCAGCAGUGGGGAAUCUUGCACAAUGGAGGAAACUCUGAUGCAGCCACGCCGCGUGGAGGAAGACACCCCUAUGGGGCGUAAACUCCUUUUCUGCCGGAAGAAAACCCUGGUCUCCAGGGCGUGUCGGUACGGCAGGAAUAAGCACCGGCUAACUCCGUGCCAGCAGCCGCGGUAAUACGGAGGGUGCAAGCGUUGUCCGGAAUUACUGGGUGUAAAGGGUGUGCAGGCGGGGCAGCAAGUCAGAGGUGAAAGCCCACGGCUUACCGUGGAAGUGCCUUUG
rnacentral:rRNA from 1 species